rnacentral:lncRNA from 12 species
CUCUGAAUGUAGCUUAAGUCUCUACUUAUUGGGAGCAAAAAUACACCACACUAGAGCCCCUUCCAAACUAUUGGGUUAAUGUUCAUGACUGUUAAUGAUCAAACUGGAGUACUGCACAGCUGGUCCUGCUGGUUCCAGGAAGGCUCAAAAAGAAAUGAAGGCAUCGGGAAGCUGUUGAUGUUGUGACCUGCUCCUGGGGCUCUCGUGCACACUGCACCUCUGCUCAGACAGAGCUGUGUCUCCUACCGCAUGGGUUCAGCCCACUCUUGGGAAGCGGCCUCUUUUGGGAAACGAGGGAACUUGCAAACGGCUUGUUAAAGAUUUGCCAGGGAGAGGAAAGACUUUUGAGCAUGUGGCAGGAAGGGGGCAACCUCGCUGAGACUCGUUGGCCUGGUUAUGGACUGUUGAGUCCUCGGACACCCUGGUUCCUGUCUUCCCAUCGCCAUCAGAUCCCGCUGGGUCCUUCGGGUCACCUCUCUCCUCCCCGCGGGGCAGGGGCCACAGGCCCUGUUCAUCAUCGAUUCUAGGAGGAAUGCCUUGGUGUCUGGCGCGGAGCAGGACUACGAGGCGUCUGCGGAGUUGGUAGGUGGGUCUGGCUAGCUGUGGGCCUGUCUCUGGAAUUCAUUAUUUUAUUUUAUUUUAUUUUAUUUUAUUUUAUUUUAUUUUAUUUUAUUUUAUUUUAUUUUAUUUUAUUUUAUUUUAUUUUAUUUUAUUUUAUUUUAUUUUAUUUUAUUUUUAUUGGAGU